GGUAAGGUAGCCGAGAAUAGGCAGUGGGUUGUAGCCCCGAAGACAGAGGUUUGAGUCCUUUUCUUACCA
rnacentral:tRNA from 1 species